UGGCUCAGGAUGAACGCUAGCGGACAGGCCUAAUACAUGCAAGUCGAACGGUAACAGGUGUAGACAAUACAUGCUGACGAGUGGCGCACGGGUGUAGUAACACGUAUGCAACUUACCCAUAACUGGGGGAUAGCCCGGAGAAAUCCGGAUUAAUACCCCAUAACAUCUCGUAAUGGCAUCAUUAUGAGAUUAAACCUCAGGGGGUUAUGGAUGGGCAUGCGGCCGAUUAGUUUGUUGGUAGGGUAACGGCCUACCAAGACUACGAUCGGUAGGGGAUCUAAGAGGAUGACCCCCCACACGGGUACUGAGACACGGACCCGACUCCUACGGGAGGCAGCAGUAAGGAAUAUUGGUCAAUGGAGGCAACUCUGAACCAGCCAUGCCGCGUGAAGGAUGAAGGCCCUAUGGGUCGUAAACUUCUUUUUGAAUGGGAGAAAACCCUCGCUCGUGAGCGAGGCUGAUAGUACCAUUAGAAUAAGGGUCGGCUAACUCCGUGCCAGCAGCCGC
rnacentral:rRNA from 1 species